GGGUUUAAUUCGAUGAUACGCGAGGAACCUUACCAGGGCUCGAACGCACGACGACAGGGCGGAAACGUCCUCUUCUUCGGACGGCGUGCGAGGUGCUGCAUGGCUGUCGUCAGCUCGUGCCGUGAGGUGUCGGGUUAAGUCCCAUAACGAGCGCAACCCCCAUCUCUAGUUGCCAGCGGGUAAUGCCGGGGACUCUAGAGAAACUGCCCGUGUAAACGGUGA
rnacentral:rRNA from 1 species